UGGCAUUAAUAAUUGGGGUGCACAUGGAGAGAAUUGUUCCAUCACGGCCCAUGGCUAUUGAAAGGGAGCACCACGGUGCUUCAAAAAGCAAGAAAUUGUGAUUUGGUGCAGCGGGCUCUUGGGUAAUUAAAGUUUGGAGUGUCCAGCACACAACAACUCAUUCAUUCUUCACGGCUUGGAGUUGGCAGGAGUUUGAGCAGCAUUAAAUAUGGGUUGCGACCAGCAGGUUCACGGUCCACCUACGGAAGCAACUUUCCAGCACCUUACGGCCCACGCUGGCAGUAGAAAUGGAGGUGCGGCCCAGCAAAAUGAGGUGUGUCCAGAGGCUGCAGCCACAAUGUCUCUGAUAAAAUUUGAAGAAUGAAUAAAAAGUCUAGGCAUUGGGUAUUAUUAUGGGGCUGGUCCACAUCAUUAAAAGAGCAUAGAACCCUAGACAUAAUAUAUAGAAGAUAGCCGUCAUUUUAUUUUGGAACGGAGGAGGCUGCAACAACGUUUCUUUACUCUUUUCUUGGAACAAUGACUUUGCAUUUUGAUUGUGGAUGAAUAAGAAAUUGCUUUCAGUCAUCACUCUUCUCUUGUAUUUCUUUUUUUGCUGCAACGUUCUCUGACUUUGGGGUUGAUGCAUUAUUGGAGAAGAGCACAUUUGAUGAUUCUACUUUGCAUUGAGAUGAACUCACGGUGACGCUGCUUCCAUUCUGCAACCGCUGAUUCAAUUUUAUUUGUUGCACGCUAAUUUGAUUUUAUUUGAAGCACACUGCACACAAAGCACACGGUGAUAUUUAAUCUUUGCUUAAUACAAAAUUUCAAUUAGAAUAUUUAUUUCUUUCAUUAGCCGCCA
rnacentral:lncRNA from 1 species